rnacentral:sRNA from 1 species
GCCAGGUGUGGUGGCACACACCUGUAAUCCCAGCUACUCUGGAGGCUGAGGCAGGAGGAUUGUAAAUUUGAGGCAGCCUGGGCAAUUUAGCAGUAAUUUGUCUCAA